CUUGGGGGAUAGGAGGAAGUUAUUACUGCCCUUGGAUCCAGCGCUGCCGUCUCGACCCAGAGCCUCGGUCCGCACGGGGAAGGUCGACCCCAGCGACCGUCCGAGCCCACCUUUAUGCAGUGUGCUCGGUCCGGGACCACCCUCGGGGCGGUAAUUGUGUGCUUUGUUGUUCUGGAAGCUUCGGGAAGGUUCACGGUGGUCCCCCACACUGCUUUCCCCCAGCAAAUUGCCCCAACUAAUGUUCCCAAACCGAGAGGGGGAGCGGGGAAAGGCGGCCCGCCGGUCCGGCUCCGCAGGGCUCCGUUCCACGCGCUUCUGCCCGAGUCUGGGACAAAAGCAGGUGUAACCCUAACAAGGUAGUUAACAGUGGCAGACCUAGUAAUGGAGACCAAAUCUCUGGGUUUCUAGCCCUGCAACAUCUAAUACAAGGCUAGCUUCCUCCAUCUCCAUAAAAAUGGCAUUGUAAGGCUCUUUUAAUGUUCAAGAACUGAAAGAGAGAACAUCUGAAGAUACUGAAUUGGUUAUUCUCCUCUACUGGAUUUUGCCUGCUGAGAUUAUGGGAGAAGAAUGGGAUAUACCCGAGUACAUCACAGUGAAUUUCAAUCACUUCUGAAAGCCAGCGGACGGAUGCUUGCAUAAGUAUUUUUCUGAUUCAACGGAGUGAUGGAUAUCCUCUCCCACUAUCACACAAGGCACAUGUAUGUCACUAAAACCAAUUCAGAACUUGUGGAUGGAGAUAAGGAAACUGAUUCACCAUUUCAUUACUCAAAUUUUAUGACAACGUAACUUCGCACAAAACAAGAGUGACAUGAUGGAGUAGGACACCAAAUGUAUGUUGAAACCAGUGAAAAAAACAUGAACAAAAAAGAUGGCAAAAUAGGAACUUCAAAUAUUACUGUAACUUUUUGGGGGCAGUUGAAGUAACUAAUACUUUAAUUUGUUGUUGUUCUACCAUCUGUAUUUCCAUUUCUUUUUUUUUUUUUUUUUGUCUUUAGAAAUCUUGCAAACUACUGAAGUAUUCACUCUUGUUAAAAAGUAUUUUAUUUUUUUUUAAAAAGGACUCCCAAAUAUAUUAAACAGAUUUGCCUAGAAAAUGGCCAGAUUUUAUCUGAGACACAAAGUUUUGCUCUAUAAAGAAGAUAUGAAUUUGCAGACUAAGCCUUUCUCACAUCUGUGCCUAAUAAAAGUAUCACACAACUUCAGAAAUAACACCGUGACCAGUCAGGUAGCCGAACACAGGUAUCUUGCCAUCUAUACUCCUGGCACACCCUUAGUUAUAGUAAGAAUGUGUUUAAUACUACCAUUAGACUUUUUGAAAUUUCAUUAAGGUUACAGCAUUCCAAGACCCUGUUACAAAGAUAAUACUGCAUUUGGAUGUAUUAUACCAUUAAAACCUGCUCUCCGUUAUUUCACAAUUUUAAAUAUACACAUGCUAGUAAGUUAAAUGAGUGAGAUUUGAUUCAUAACAUACAAACUGAUAAUAAUGGUCUCCUGUAUCUGUAUUUUAAUGUAAAUUAGUCUCUGAUAUUAUAACAUUUGAUUUAGUUUGCAAUAAUUGAUAUUAAUUAAAUUGUAUUGACUCUUGUAGGAUUAUCCUUAGGUUAACCCAACAUGAGAUAAACACCUUGAAUGCUCUGAAGGUGCAUGAAAAAUCAGCUAAUUGCUGUCAUUAUUGUUCCUGUUAAAAUGGAAAUUUUGUGCCAAUUCAAAAUAAUUCGUUAACUUAAUAUCAGUAUAUAUAUGAACAUAUAUCUGCACAUGCAUGUUCUAUUAAUAGGCACACAUAUGGCACACAUGAAAACUGUGCUUAAGUUCUUAUUGUAGAAUUCAUUUUUAACCUUGCCCAAAUGCAUUACAUUCACAAAGGUAUCAAAGAAUGCUUAAUUUUAUUUUAUGUAUUGUUUCUUUAAAUAAAACAAAUGACUUGGCAAUUGCUUUUUUGUUUGGCCUCAAGCUAUAGUUACAGAAGAGUGCCCUAGAAGACAUCCAGGUCUUGAAUCAUAUACCUGUCUGUGCAGCUCUGUGCGGAUGUCUCAAACUUUAGACUAUCUAAACUGGCACAAGGACAUAUACAUUUUGAUACCUGAAUCAGACCCAGAACACCAUGACAGCCUCCAUUAAUUCCUUACACUCAUUUUUCAGCAUAACACUGAACUUAGAUACAUCAAGUUGUAUCUCUGUGAAAGUACUGUCCUAGUGUAGGACAUUUUUCCAAAGGAUAUGCCUCUGAGAAUGAGUAGAAGCAAUUCUACCUUACAUGAAUAUGGUAGCCAGAGGAAGUAGGGGCCGCUUCUCAUAUUUUAUACUGCUCAAAGGCUGAAAAGUCCUUGACAACUAUACAUGCAUAGACAGAAUAAAUUAUGGCAACCCCGCCCCACUUCUUUGAGAAGUACUACCACAGAGAAAACACUUGGCACAUUGCACAAAAGGCACAUUCCCCUAGGAACCUAGCCACAACCACAAGUCAAGAAACUACUUUUUAGGGAGUUUAUGGAGGAAUCUCCAUAGUCAUCAUAUGACAGUAAUGCAAGAAUUUUUAUCCUGUCAUGUUACAAACAUUUAUUACUCACCCAGUACCAUAACGGAAUUGGAUCAGACAAGGCUUCAAGAUAAAAUUCUUUCUGAAUUUUUAAAGGAUGAAAUCAGUACUUCUGCAUUCUUUUUCUACUGUAAUUCCAUGUCUGAUUUUCAGCAGCUCAUCUAGUACCUACCUUCUGUACCUGGUCUUUUACAAAUGUGACUUUAUAUUACAGAUAAUAUAAAGUCAAAUUGUAGAUAAUAACAGGCCCUAAAUCAAAUAAUUUGGUAAAUAUUAUUUUUUCCUGAAACUGCAGGAAUGCUACUUAUAACAAUAUAUUUCUUUCAUUCAGGGAUUGCAUAUCAUUAUUUAUUAGGUUGUUUGAUUCAGAACAUUAAAUCUGUAACAAAAUCUCAGCUGACAGAAUGGAUGUUUGUCUUUAAAAAAAAUAUACUCACUGUUGUUGGUAGUUAAUAACAUAAGUUAUGUUUUCAAAGAAAACAUCAUGCUUUUCUUCGGCUCCUAAUAAUUUUUUUUUGUGCAAUUUGUGUUCCACUCAGUAAAAUUAAAUUAUGCUUUUGGGAUUAUGCUACAGCAUUUUAUAAGCUAAUAAUUGUGAAACAGCUGUUUUACCAAAAUGAGCGGAUUGUUUGAAAGAUAUAAAGAAUAAAAUAAAAA